rnacentral:rRNA from 1 species
AGCAGCCGCGGUAAUUCCAGCUCCAAUAGCGUAUAUUAAAGUUGCUGCAGUUAAAAAGCUCGUAGUUGGAUUUCUGGUUUGACGCACCUGGCCCGCCUCGGUUACGAGUGUGAGUGCCGGCGCGCGUCUGCCAUCCUUCUAAGGAACGGUUCGACUCUUUACUGGGCCGGGCUCGCGACUUAGAUCUAUUACUUUGAAAAAAUUAGAGUGUUUAAAGCAGGCGUUUGCCUUGAAUACAUUAGCAUGGAAUAAUAAUUUAGGACUUCGGUUCUAUUUUGUUGGUUUCUAGAGCUGAAGUA